UGAGAUUUGGUUUCGGCUCAUGGGAUUUGGUCCAUGAGGUUUGGUUUUGGUUCAUGGGAUUUGGUCCAUGAGGUUUGAUUUUGGUUCAUGGAAUUUGGUCCAUGAGGUUUGGUUUUGGUUCAUGAGAUUUGGUCCAUGAGAUUUAGCUGUGGUUCAUGGGAUUUGGACCAUGAGGUUUAGUUGUGGCUCAUGGGAUUUGGUCAAUGAGGUUUGGUUUUGGCUCAUGGGAUUUGGUCCAUGAGAUUUGGUUUUGGUUCAUGGGAUUUGGUCCAUGAGAUUUGAUUUUGGUUCAUGGGAUUUGGUCCAUUAGAUUUGGUUAUGGUUCAUGGGAUUUGAUCCAUGAGAUUUGAUUUUGGUUCAUGGGAUUUGGUCUAUGAGAUUUGGUUUUGGUUCAUGGGAUUUGGUCCAUGAGUUUUGGUUUUGGUUCAUAGGAUUUGGUCCAUGAGAUUUAGUUCUGUUUCAUGGGAUUUGGUCCAUGAGAUUUGGUUCUGUUUCAUGGGAUUUGGUCCAUGAGUUUUGGUUUUGGUUCAUGGGAUUUGGUCCAUGAACUUGGUUUUGGCUCAUGGGAUUUGGUCCAUGAGAUUUGGUUUUAGUUCAUGGGAUUUGGUCCAUGAGGUUUGGUUGGUUCAUGGGAUUUGGUCCAUGAGGUUUGGUUUUGGCUCAUGGGAUUUGGUCCAUGAGGUUUGGUUUUGGCUCAUGGGAUUUGGUCCAUGAGAUUUGGUUUUGGUUCUAUGUGUGGACUUGGUUUGGGUUUGGAUUUAUUUGGGUCCAAGUUUGGGUUUAUUUGGGUUUUGGGUUUAGGUUUAUUUGGGUUUGGGUUUGGGUUUGAUUUUGGGUUCGGAUUUUAUUUGUAGACUUGAUUUGGAUUGGGUUUGCGUUUGAUUUGAGUUUGGGUUUUGGUUUUAUUUGGGGAAUGGGUUUGGGUUUUAUUUGUGGACUUGAUUUGCUUUGGAUUUGGAUUUUAUUUGGAUUUGGGU
rnacentral:lncRNA from 1 species